CAGUAGCCGCGGUAAAACAGAGGGUGCGAGCGUUAAUCGGAUUUACUGGGCGUAAAGCGUGCGUAGGCGGCUUCUUAAGUCGGAUGUGAAAUCCCUGAGCUUAACUUAGGAAUUGCAUUCGAUACUGGGAAGCUAGAGUAUGGGAGAGGAUGGUAGAAUUCCAGGUGUAGCGGUGAAAUGCGUAGAGAUCUGGAGGAAUACAGAUGGCGAAGGCAGCCAUCUGGCCUAAUACUGACGCUGAGGUACGAAAGCAUGGGGAGCAAACAGGAUUAGAUACCCCGGUAGUCCCUGUCUCUUAUAC
rnacentral:rRNA from 1 species